rnacentral:rRNA from 1 species
AUUGAACGCUGGCGGCAGGCUUAACACAUGCAAGUCGAGCGGGGUGAUGGUGCUUGCACUAUCACUUAGCGGCGGACGGGUGAGUAAUGCUUAGGAAUCUGCCUAUUAGUGGGGGACAACAUCUCGAAAGGGAUGCUAAUACCGCAUACGUCCUACGGGAGAAAGCAGGGGAUCACUUGUGACCUUGCGCUAAUAGAUGAGCCUAAGUCGGAUUAGCUAGUUGGUGGGGUAAAGGCCUACCAAGGCGACGAUCUGGAGCGGGUCUGAGAGGAUGAUCCGCCACACUGGGACUGAGACACGGCCCAGACUGCUACGGGAGGCAGCAGUGGGGAAUAUUGGACAAUGGGGGGAACCCUGAUCCAGCCAUGCCGCGUGUGUGAAGAAGGCCUUAUGGUUGUAAAGCACUUUAGGCGAGGAGGAGGCUCUUUUGGUUAAUACCCAAGAUGAGUGGACGUUACUCGCAGAAUAAGCACCGGCUAACUCUGUGCCAGCCGCCGCAGUAA